GACGAACGCUGGCGGCGUGCUUAACACAUGCAAGUCGAGCGAUGAAGUUUCUUCGGAAAUGGAUUAGCGGCGAACGGGUGAGUAACACGUGAGGAAUCUGCCCUUCACUUUGGAAUAACUCCGGGAAACCGGAGCUAAUACCGGAUACGAACUCUGGCGGCAUCGCCGGGGUUGGAAAGUUUUUCGGUGAAGGAUGACCUCGCGGCCUAUCAGCUUGUUGGUGAGGUAAUGGCUCACCAAGGCGACGACGGGUAGCCGGCCUGAGAGGGCGACCGGCCACACUGGGACUGAGACACGGCCCAGACUCCUACGGGAGGCAGCAGUGGGGAAUAUUGGGCAAUGGGCGAAAGCCUGACCCAGCGACGCCGCGUGCGGGAUGAAGGCCUUCGGGUUGUAAACCGCUUUCAGCAGGGACGAAGCGAAAGUGACGGUACCUGAAGAAGAAGCACCGACUAACUAUGUGCCAGCAGCCGCCGUAA
rnacentral:rRNA from 1 species